rnacentral:rRNA from 1 species
UACAGGGGGGGCAAGCGUUGGUCGGAAUUACUGGGCGUAAAGGGUCUGUAGGUGGCCAACUAAGUCAGACGUGAAAUCCCUCAGCUUAACUGGGGAACUGCGUCUGAUACUGGAUGGCUUGAGUGUGGGAGAGGAAUGCGGAAUUCCAGGUGUAGCGGUGAAAUGCGUAGAUAUCUGGAGGAACACCGGUGGCGAAGGCGGCAUUCUGGACCAUAACUGACACUGAGAGACGAAAGCCAGGGGAGCAAACGGG